rnacentral:rRNA from 1 species
GACGUAGGGGACGAGCGUUGUCCGGAUUCAUUGGGCGUAAAGCGCGCGUAGGCGGUUCGGCAAGUCGGAUGUGAAAUCUCCACGCUUAACGUGGAGGAGCCAUUCGAAACUGCCGUGACUCGAGUCCGGUAGGGGAGUGUGGAAUUCCCGGUGUAGCGGUGAAAUGCGUAGAGAUCGGGAGGAAUACCGGUGGCGAAAGCGGCAUCCUGGACCGGCAUUGACGCUGAGGAGCGAAAAGCUAGGGGAGCAAACGGGG